rnacentral:rRNA from 1 species
AGUGAACGCUGGCGGUAGGCCUAACACAUGCAAGUCGAACGGCAGCACAGUAAGAUCUUGCUCUUACUGUUGGCGAGUGUCGGACGGGUGAGGUAUACAUCGUAAUCUACUUUUUCGUGGGUGAUUACGUAGGUCAACUUACGCUAAUACCUCAUACUACCUACUGGUGAAAUCAGUUGUUCUUCUUACCUUUCGCGUUUUUAUUAGCCGAUGUCGGAUUAGCUAGUUGUCUUGGUAAAGGCACACCAAGGCGACGAUCCGUACCUGGUCUGAGAGGAUGAUCAGCGACACUGGAACUGAGAAACGGUCAAGAGUCCUACGGGAGGAAGCAGUGGGGAAUAUGGGACAAUGGGCGAAAGCAUGAUACAGCAAUACAGCGUGGGUGAAGAAGGACUUAGGGUUGUAAAGAACGUUUGUUGGGAAAGAAAAGAAGCAGGAUAAAAACAGGAUGUUAUGACGGUAACGAAAGAAAAAGCAACGGCUAACUACGUG